UGCCUGAAGAGAAUGCAGAUGAACCCAGCCUC
rnacentral:piRNA from 1 species